rnacentral:rRNA from 1 species
UACGAGGGGUCCUAGCGUUGUUCGGAAUCAUUGGGCGUAAAGGGCGCGUAGGCGGCUUUGCAAGUGGCGGGUGAAAUCCCUCGGCUUAACCGAGGAACUGCCUGUCAAACUGCAUGGCUUGAGACCAGGAGAGGUGAGUGGAAUUCCCAGUGUAGCGGUGAAAUGCGUAGAUAUUGGGAGGAACACCAGUGGCGAAGGCGGCUCACUGGACUGGUACUGACGCUGAUGCGCGAAAGCGUGGGGAGCAAACAGG